AUAGAAGAUGGUGAUGCUAGCUUUUGUGCCUUUGUUGGAGUGCUUGGUGGUGGUUGUGGUGAAUCAUCUUUUGCCUGUUCAGUAGAUAAAUUGAUCUCUUCAACCAUAUUAUCCUGAAAACCAGAUUAAUGUACUGACCUUAAUUUAUAAAUGCGGUGAUUAGCAGCGAUGCUUCUGUGUCCACCAAGUAUUACAUGUGAGGGUGAAGUACACGCUGUGCUUAUUGUUAUCCGUAUAAGAAAAUUCACCGAACUAACUCAUUAAAUAUUUAAAUGCUCGAGAAAUUAAAGCUAAAGAAAGUCAUUCCUGUCUACUUGAUAUUUUAGUAUUAGCAUUUGUGUAUGCUAUUAACUACACAUGUGCUUUUAUAAAUUACGCUGCAUGUGCUACAAAUUAUUACUGAUUAUUAAAAACAAAAAAUGUGAUGAUACAAUUGUGCGCAAGAACUUCUUUCUGUAGGUUCUCUAUUAUAUCUGUUUUUAUUCUAUAGAAACAUUUAAAACAUUAAAUGGAUAUUCUCAUACCGUGUAUGAAAUGGACGUUGUUUUUUGUUUUUUUUUUUUUAUAAAGAAAUUAUACGUGUAAGCAACAUUUUAAGCCCCUAAUGAUAACAAUUUUAAAUUGCAUUCUGCAAAUACUUUUUCCUUAAACGUUAUUAAAUUUACUUUCAUUAUUCUAUGUUAAAACGUUUGCUUAGAAUACAGAUGUGUAUCUACAGAUGACAAUAUAAUUCUAUGUAACGAACUAAUCACAGUUUUAACCUUUUGGGGGUUUAAUAAAAAUGCUGGGAAUAUAAAUUUAAAAACAAAAAUAUUAUUAUAAUGGCUCUCUUGUUAUGUCUGACAAUACGUCGAAUAUUCGUUAUACAAUAAUAUUCGUAUGACAGUGUGAUUAUUCGUAACAAUUACGGCAACUUAUUAUUACGUAUCUAAUUUUUGUGAAUCAUCGGAUAAUUAAUCAAGUUGAAAUAUGUACUAAUCAGUAUAUGGAAGCAAUAAAGUAUAAAUAAUACUUGAUAUAUACCUUUUUAGCAUAGAUCGUAUGAGUUUUUCAAAAGUCGUAUGAUUGAGAGAGAAAGAGAGAAAGAGAGAGAGAGAGAGAGAGACAUUUCUCUGAAAUUAUUUCAGUUAUUUUGCUUUUCCCAUCGACGUUUUACUUUAUUAUUGAUUCUCAUUUUUCAACCGACUGUAGAUCAGUCGUAGAAUCUAAGUAUUUAUUCUGAUGUAUACAACAAAUAGAGAUAGUUUACGUAUCUACAGUAACGAUUACGAAUUUAUCGUAUUCUAUCGUUUAAAUACAAUAUGAAACGUAUUCGAUGCAACCGUGCGAAAUAUCCUUUUCUCACUCGAUGCAUUGAAUACGAUUGCGCAUUGUAUACGAUUCUAAUAUCAUUUGUAUUUCUUGUGUUCGACUCUGCAACGGGGUUCCUCCACCGAUCUACGUACAGACGACAGCAACUUAUUUCGCGGGAUAAGUUUCUUCAGAACCCGGCAAU